rnacentral:rRNA from 1 species
AUUGAACGCUGGCGGAAUGCUUUACACAUGCAAGUCGAACGGCAGCACGGACUUCGGUCUGGUGGCGAGUGGCGAACGGGUGAGUAAUGUAUCGGAACGUGCCCAGUCGUGGGGGAUAACGUAGUGAAAAUUACGCUAAUACCGCAUACGAUCUAUGGAUGAAAGCGGGGGAUCGCAAGACCUCGCGCGAUUGGAGCGGCAGAUAUCAGAUUAGGUGGUUGGUGGGGUAAAGGCCCACCAAGCCAACGAUCGGUAGCUGGUCUGAGAGGACGACCAGCCACACUGGAACUGAGACACGGUCCAGACUCCUACGGGAGGCAGCAGUGGGGAAUUUUGGACAAUGGGCGGAAGCCUGAUCCAGCCAUUCCGCGUGCAGGAUGAAGGCCCUCGGGUUGUAAACUGCUUUUGUACAGAACGAAAAGGUUUCUACUAAUACUAGGAGCUCAUGACGGUACUGUAAGAAUAAGCACCGGCUAACUACGUGCCAGCCGCCGCCGUAA